rnacentral:rRNA from 1 species
UACAUGUGGGGCAAGCGUUGUUCGGAAUUACUGGGCAUAAAGGGCGCGUAGGCGGUCUGCUAAGCGUGUGGUGAAAGCCCGGGGCUCAACCCCGGGUCGGCCGUGCGAACUGGCGGACUGGAGCUUGUCAGAGGCAGGCGGAAUUCCGGGUGUAGCGGUGGAAUGCGUAGAGAUCCGGAAGAACACCGGUGGCGAAGGCGGCCUGCUGGGACAGUGCUGACGCUGAGCGCGACAGCGUGGGGAGCAAACAGGAU